rnacentral:lncRNA from 12 species
UGUACGUGGAAUGCUAUUUUGUCACUAUUUUUCUAGAUAAAGAAAUAUUAAAAUAACUAUUUGUAUCUCUCAGUCUUCUCUGCACAGGAGCAGCUCUCCUGCCACAGCCCCUCAUCUCCUGAAAAUGUACACCUCACAAAGUUUGUCUCCAUUCUCUUCUCGGUCAGGAGCACUUCUCAGCUGGACUCCUACCCAGUUUCUACAAAUGAAAAUCAAGUCAGUCAUCUAAAAAAUCUCACAAUUUCCAAACAAGAAGAUUUAGUGUCUUCUGUUUCCAUUAAAACUGAAUUUAUGGUGAUAUUCUGGGUUACAUUGUGUGGGCACAAAAUGACAAAGGUAGUUUUAUUUUUUUCUCAAAAAUUUCUGUAGAAUGCAUAGGAAAAUUCUCAGAUUUGUAAGUUUUACAUUCUUUGCAUAUUCAAUGUGUUAAACUUGCGAUAUAAAUCAAUGGCAAACCUUUUACUAUCUGGCAUUUUACAAAUUUCAGACAUUGCUGUUUGCUAAUGAUCCAGUUUUAGGCACGGUUAAGGGAACUCUAAGUGGCCUAUGAAUGCCUGUCAUUAGUACCAGUCACAGCAGAUUAUUAUGUCAUUAUGCAGUGUGUCUCUUUCUAGGUCUAGAUCCCAAGGUCUGCCUUUCCUCCUUUUCCUUAGAUGCCUUGGAAGGAAUUUAGUUCUACUUGGGGACAAAGGGAAUGGAAAUAUAAUUCCUUGAAGCAGACUUUCAUAGAGCAAAUUGCAGCAGGAUAGUGCUGUGAUAGCAUUAAAAGGAAGCAUUUUAAAUGUCUUGAUUAAGUCAUCCUAUCAGUCUGAUCACUUGAAAGAAGGCAGUUCAGUGUUAUGACACAGAGUAUAAUCUUUACUUCUCUUGUGCUUACGCAUGUUUUCAUGUAUGAUCUUUUUCCAGUUUCAAAAAUGACUAUAUAAAAGUUGCCAUUUCUAGGAAUUUAGUAUGUUAUUAGCUGAAAAAAUAAUCCUUUAAUGCUUGCUUUUAACACAGAUCUUUAAAACUGUAAUUAUUUCAUUUUAACUUUGGUUAAAUUCCUGUUCCCUUACAUGCCACAUCAAAACUUCUAGAGGCAGCAAAGAUGGCUUUUGUUUUCAUCAAUACUAUCUUUGUUUUCUAUUGAGUCAAUCUCUCCCCUUUCUAUUCUGCACGAUUACAACCUUGUAGUCAAAUGAAUUUACUAAGCCCCUGAAGCUCAGCUAUACAAAGGAACUCUAGAACCUCAAACAAUGUAUUGAAAUGAUCCUGCGGCAGACUCUCCUUUGGGAAGUAAUAUUCUUUUGUAUGAGCAUUAAUUUGAAAAAAAUAAAAUAAUCCAUUCAAUUGUCCUGCUCA